rnacentral:rRNA from 1 species
AAAUCAUAUCUUUCAUCUAGCUAUUAUAACGAAGAUCUGUUUAAAGGCAAUAUACUUGUAAAUAUCUUCAUUCUAAGGUAAAGAUAGGAUGAAUAAAAGCUAGAAUCAAAACGAGGAUAAGCCAAAUAAUACUUAGAGUAGGGAUGAUAUCCGUAGAUACUAAGUGGAAUACUAAUAGUGCAAACUAUUUAUCUAGAAAUGAUUGACGCUGAGAAACGAAGGUGAGAAUAGGAAAUAGGA